UAUUAAUAAGUGUAUGGAGCACGAAGUUUUUUGAAAACUUAAGAAAUAGUUUAAUUCUAUUAUUAAUAA
rnacentral:tRNA from 1 species